CGAACGGGUCCGUUUUCUUACAGAUGCGGCUUCGCUCUUCAUAUUAACUUGUCUUUUUUCGGAGGCAUCUACACCGGCGAGAUAACCAGGUGGAGAAAGUUCGCCACUUCCGAUCAACCGGCCACCGCAGGCUUAGUGCUUGAAAUACAGCCGAGUUGAAGAAAAACAAACGUGUCUGUGUGUCUCGGAUCAGAGAAGCAAAAACCUGAAUCAGAGGAGAAGAAACUCAGGAGGUGAGGUGAUCUCGAAGCCAUGCAGUUAAAGGAAUAAUGCCCUCAAAUAACACUCGCACAUGCUUUUUCCAAAAAUCGACAUGCAUUUGGUUCCUUCAGAGCGUUUUAUCGAUACACAUUGUCUCAAGAUGAGCAUGUUAACACA